CUUAACUUACACAAAAGUCCCCACAGAAGCUGGCAUCUGAGCCGAGACCCAGAGAGUGACAGUUUGCUGGUCAGAUACGGAUGGCGAGAGAAGCUUGGAGGACACCAUGAUAGCUAAGUACCCAGACAUGAGGAAGAUAUGAAGGAUGUCAUCUGGUGAAAUUGGAGAGAAAACGAGGAAAGAAGUCGUCAAGGGAUCUAGGAAACCAUGGACUUGACCCAAGGAAGCCAGCACAGUACCUAAGGAGAUCCUGAUCCCAGUCCCAGCUCCGGGGCAGACCCUGGUUAAUCAGGAUACAACCAUACAUUUCACCAGGGAUCCACUUAAGAAGAAAGGACUUAGCCAGGUGGAUGUGAUUAUCCUGUUCUCAGGAUUUGUCACCUAGUUAAGGAAUCAUUCUCUGUGAGAGAAUGCUUUUCUGGGUGCUUCUGGGAAAAAAGCAUCCUGGCUCUUAAGGGAGAUACCGCAGGAACUGAUUGCUGUUUCUGUGGAUUCGAAGCCCAGGACUGCUAUAGUCACCUUCUACUACCUCCAAGGGGAAAGCAUCACCUGCUGGAGGGCAGAACUGGGGAGAAUCAAAGACCCUGUGCCAGAGCCCUGCCUCACCCAAGCCUGCACACCAAGCUGCUUCUGGAUGUGCUUUCUUCUGAGAGCCAGUAAUUCUCUCAUGGAGACAGGGAGGGUGAGAAGUAAUCAGCCAUGAGGAGCAGAGAAGAGAUGCCGGCCAAGCCAGAGGAAGGCAGCACGACAAGCUCUCCUUACCCAACUCCCAGCCCCGAGCUCCUUCCCUCUGACCUAGACAGCAGGUGGAUGUGUUGACCUCCAGGCAGCAACCCUACCACUGGCAGGCUGGGCGGGUGAAGCAAUGUCUUAAUCUCCGUGGCUUUGGGCUUUUCACCUGCAGGCUGGGGCUAGCAACACCUACCUCACAUUCACUUGCUUAGAAAUACUGUUGAGGGGCACUUGGGUGGCUCAGCCAGUAAGCAUCCAACUUGGUUUUGGCUCAGGUCAUGAUAAAGGGGUUGUGAGAUCAAGCCCCACAUCAAGCUCUGUGCUCAGCAGGGAAUCUGCUUGAUAUUCUCUCCCUCUGUCCCACCCUCUGGUAGGCUCACUCUCUCUCAAAUAAAUAAAUACAUCUUGUUUUAAAAAAAGAAUUAUUUUGAUACCUAUCUUGUUGCUUCCUGUGAAUCCCAGCUGUCAAGAGGAAAACAUUUGGCGAUCCAUGGAACAUGCCAGAUACAGUCUGUGUUCUGCACACAGCCAUCUCCUUCUUUGCUAAGUCCUGUUUGACCAACCACAUCUCUGUUCCAAAUCCCCAUGAACUUUUCCCUCCCACACAGGAAAAAGUCCACAUUCUAUUAGUGACUGGACUCUUAACAGUUAAGGCGUUCACGGGGAAAAAAAAUUAUCAAAACUGAGGCUGUGCUUAUUCUCUGACCAAGUCAAGUCAUUUCUAGGAAUUUAUGUUGUGGACACACAGCAGAGCAAUACACACAUGCAGAGUGUCUGUUGUGGUAUUGCUUGUAACAAGAAAAAUAAAACAAAAAUACACACCCAUGGAGGAAGACUGAAAUAAAGGACAGCAUAUGAACUACCAGAGAGAGGCUGCGUGUCGCUUAGCAUGCACCUGGCUCUCGGGAAAUAUGGGAUACAGAAAAUGCUGUGAAGCCAUUUCAACGAAAAGGGAUCUAAAGCAACUGAGACCCAUAAGUGAAAAGAAGGCAAGUAGUAGAACAGUGUGUAUGGUUUGCUUCUAUUUUGCUUAAAAGAUCCCCUUUCUCUCGCUCUUUAAAUGCAUU